UACAGAGGUCUCAAGCGUUGUUCGGAUUCAUUGGGCGUAAAGGGUGCGUAGGUGGCGCCAUAAGUCAGGUGUGAAAUCUCGGGGCUCAACCCCGAAACUGCACUUGAUACUGUGGUGCUCGAGUACUGGAGAGGAGAUUGGAAUUUACGGUGUAGCAGUGAAAUGCGUAGAUAUCGUAAGGAAGACCAGUGGCGAAGGCGGCUCUCUAGUACGGUACUGACGCUGAGACGCGAAAGCGUGGGGAGCGAACAGG
rnacentral:rRNA from 1 species